AGUGGACACAGGCCCUACAACCUUUGCGGUUGCUUCAUUCAUUGAUUAAGAGGGCAAUAUCAAGAAACCAACUCUAAACAUGCUAAAUGCAAGAUUGAACCAUUAAUCUUUCAUGGAGUCUACAUGCUGGAUAACACUUCACAAAACACAUGGUGUAGCAGAGUCAAAUGUGCAUGAGGACCUCAAAAUGCAUAGCAUGAAGAUCUAUGCUUGUGAGCCAGACACAGUAGGCAUCGUCACCAAGGGAAUCAAAGUUCACUUGGAUCCAACUCAGUGUCACUGUAUAUGCUUACACAGUUAAAUACAUGUUGGAAAUGUA